CCUAAUAAUUACCGAAACACUUUUAAAAACCCCAAAAGUCAUUUUGCAAAUAACCCCAAACAGACAAUUCUUCCGAUCCGUCCAUACAUCUCCGAAUUUAUUUGUUAAAGAUGAUGACUUCUGCGAUUUCGUAUAGGUACAUGCAUCUGUCUUUUGGUAUGGAUUAUGGGGUUCUUCCCUUUACUUCAUCUUAUUGCGAACUCAGCUAAGCCUCAGAUUGAGGUGGUGGAGAGAAAAAGUAAAAAAAAAAGGUCAGAGAGUGGAAUCCAUUAAUUUUUGUUUACUUCGUUUCCUAACAUUUGACAGUGGUGUUGCCAAAUUUGCAAGGGGGUUGUUGCUAGCAGUUUCUAACGGUUUGUUAGCGAAUAAUGAUGGAAUGCCAAAAUCUGAAACACACGUGACCUGCUAGAAACGUCUUGGGGUUCAAAACAACAUCAAAGGAAGAUAACAAGAACACAAUAUACACCAGUUCGAGAGGGCGGCUCUCCAAGAUAAAUAGGCUAACAACAGAUUGAAUCAUCCAACAACAAACCCUAAAACACAAGUCCAAUUAAAAAGGCUUGCAAGAACUGAUCUCAGCCCUUAGGUCUAAACGGCCAAGAUUCAAGAGAACUUAAUAAGAAACGACGUCGUAGAGAGCAGGAUUGUGACAAUUUCCCUAAUUUUUCUUCAAUUUUAUCUUUG